CCUGUAGCUCAGUUGGAUUAGAGCACCUGACUUCGAAUCAGGGGGCCAAGGGUUCAAGUCCCUUCAGGG
rnacentral:tRNA from 2 species